rnacentral:rRNA from 1 species
AACGAACGCUGGCGGCAUGCCUAACACAUGCAAGUCGAACGAGACCUUCGGGUCUAGUGGCGCACGGGUGCGUAACGCGUGGGAAUCUGCCCUCAGGUACGGAAUAACUCAGGGAAACUUGAGCUAAUACCGUAUAAUGACUUCGGUCCAAAGAUUUAUCGCCUGAGGAUGAGCCCGCGUCGGAUUAGCUUGUUGGUGAGGUAAAAGCUCACCAAGGCGACGAUCCGUAGCUGGUCUGAGAGGAUGAUCAGCCACACUGGGACUGAGACACGGCCCAGACUCCUACGGGAGGCAGCAGUGGGGAAUAUUGGACAAUGGGCGAAAGCCUGAUCCAGCAAUGCCGCGUGAGUGAUGAAGGCCUUAGGGUUGUAAAGCUCUUUUACCCGGGAUGAUAAUGACAGUACCGGGAGAAUAAGCCCCGGCUAACUCCGUGCCAGCAGCCGCCGUAACAC